CAAUAGCGUAUAUUAAAGUUGUUGCAGUUAAAAAGCUCGUAGUUGAAUUUCUGGCGGGCGCGCCGGUCUUCCAAGUGUUGUACUGGGCGCAGUCCGCCAUCCUUGUGGAGAGGGCUCGCAUUGAGUUGCGUGUCGGAUCUGCAUCAUUUACUGUGAAAAAAUUAGAGUGUUUAAAGCAGGCUGUCGCUUGAAUACAUUAGCAUGGAAUAAUAAGAUAGGACUUCGGUCUAUUUUGUUGGUUGCGAACCGAGGUAGUGAUUAAUAGGGAUAGUUGGGGGUAUUCAUAUUUAAUUGUCAGAGGUGAAAUUCUUGGAUUUAUGAAAGACGAACUUCUGCGAAAGCAUUUGCCAAGGAUGUUUUCAUUAA
rnacentral:rRNA from 1 species